rnacentral:snRNA from 1 species
AGAUAUGAGGGUGAUCUAUGAGAUCUGUCACCCCAUUGACCACCAGGGGUGAUUUGGCUGAUCUGGCUGUCUAGGCGGGUGUCUCCUUCCUCUCUCACUGCUCCAUAUGCAUCCCUUUCAAAGCUGCAUGCUUGAUUGAAGAUGACCUUCCCUGAUAGAGAUGUACCAUUAAUAGGUAUAUGGUAGCUGCACUCCCCUUCUAGAACCUCCAAACAAGCUUGAGGUCCAUUUGUAGGAGAAUACAGAGUAGACAAGCUUCCAGGACUGUGGACACACCCAUACAAAGCACUGCAUGGGGCAGUGCCUGU